CGCGACCCCCAGGUCAGGCGGGGCUACCCGCUGAGUUAAGCAUAUCAAUANGCGGAGGAAAAANAAACUAACNAGGAUUCCCCUAGUAACCGGCGAGCGAACCGGGGAA
rnacentral:rRNA from 1 species